GCUUCGGCCAUCUUGGCAUCUUCAUCUUGGCGACCUUGCCUUGCCGUGGAUUGUUUUUAGUUGUUUGUAUUAUUUGUGCUUUUUAAGAAUAUUUUUUUAAUUCGGAUACUUUUAUAAUAGCUUUAAUAGUAUUAUUAACAUAGUGCAUAAAAUGGUGUCCUGUUUUUAACGCAGUUGGAGUAGCAGAAACAAAUGUAGAUAAAAAAAUCUGCAGGAAUAACGUUUCAAUUAUGACAGAAGCUCAAAACAAAUGACUGUGAAUGAAAAGCCCUAUUAAAAGCUUUCCAGAAGAUCCUGCGAAGAAGACAUGAAGUAUAGAUCAGAUUUGUUAAUAGAGGAGUAUGUUCAAAACACUUUUUAGAAAAAGAUAUUGACAGAACUUCACUUUCAUCUGUUCGUUUGAGAGACUGUGCUGUUCCAAUAGCUUAUGUCACACAGAAUCAGCUGAGAGAAGUGGUCUACAAAAAACCAGAAAGGAAACGGAAUAUGUGGUUACGAAAAGCAAAAGAAAGGUUUACAAAGCAAAUGUAACACAUUUUUUUAUAAUAUUUAGGAAUGUCAGCAAAUUACAUUAAAAAAUGUAUGUAAAGAUUUUUUGCAAUAAAAAUGUUUAUAUUUA